GUUCGUUUGGUCGCCGCAGGUACCUGCGUCUGCGGCUGCGGCGAUCUUUUUCGGAAAUCUUGUUCGUUUGAUUGACGCUGGUACCUGCGUCGAUCUGCUGCGUCUAACGCCGAAGCCUGCGUCUGACGCCGAAAAAUCUCGCGUCCGCGACAUAAAUGAUGCGGCUAGACUGCAUAUCUUCUCUUCUCUUCCUCUUCCAUUCACAGACCACAAGCUCUCUCUUCCAUUCACAGACCACCACCACGAGCUCUCUUCUCCGAUAGAUGCAGGACACAGACCUCGAGCUCUCUCUCUUCUCCGAUUGACGAAGACUUCGAGCUCUCUCUCUCUUCUCUGAUAGACUCAGACCUCGAGCUCUCUCAUCUCUUCGUCCUCGAGCUUAGACCUCUCUUUGAGCUUCGACCAAACCCAUAUCGAGCUUUCUCUUCUCCUCCACAGACGACGCCUCUCGAGCUCCCUCGUCUCCUCCACAGACGCAUCUGGAGAUCUCUCCAUCUCCAACGCAUCUCAAGCUCGCUCUCCACCUCUCUCAAGCUCUCGACCCUCUCUCCAUCUCGAGCUCUCCAUCUCUCUCAAGCUCUCCAUCUCGGUUCUAAGCUUAUGUUUUGUUCAUGUGUGGGUUUAUUCAUCCUUGGUAAGCCAUCCGAGUAUUGGCUCUCUCAUAUCAAACUCUCUCCAAGCUCAGACCCACUCAAGUCUCUCAAGUUCAGACUCUCAAGCUCAGACCCUCUCAAGCUCAGACUGCUGCUCGAGGUCUGUUGUGAUAGUCUAGAUGUUUGAAUUGUCUCAAGCUUGCUCAGACUACCAUUGUUCUUCUCCAGCUUGCUCAGACUAUGUGAUCUUUUUUCAUUAUUCUCUUGUUGUACAAAGAAACUUGUCAUUGUAUUGGAAAAUCUGUAUCAAAGAACAUAAUUUUGUUUCAAAUCUCAUCUAUUUCUUUUUA